UGAGUUUGAUCCUGGCUCAGAUUGAACGCUGGCGGUAUGCUUAACACAUGCAAGUCGCACGUUUAGCAUCGGGCAACCGAUGUGAGAGUGGCGGACGGGUGAGUAAUGCGUAGGAAUCUGCCUAUUAGAGGGGGACAACCCGGGGAAACCCGGGCUAAUACCGCGUACGCCCUUCGGGGGAAAGCAUGGGACCUUGUGGCCAUGCGCUGAUAGAUGAGCCUACGUUGGAUUAGCUAGUUGGUAGAGUAAGAGCCUACCAAGGCGACGAUCCAUAGCUGUUCUGAGAGGAAGAUCAGCCACACUGGAACUGAGACACGGUCCAGACUCCUACGGGAGGCAGCACUGGGGAAUAUUUGACAAUGGGGGCAACCCUGAUCCAGCAAUACCGUGUGUGUUGAGGAGGCCUGCGGGUUGUAAAGACACUUUGCAGGGGAGGAAGGGUUUAAGUCGAAUAGGCUUAAGCAUUGACGUUACCCUGAGAAAAAAGCACCGGCUAACUCUGUGCCAGCAGCCGCGGUAAUACAGAGGGUGCGAGCGUUAAUCGGAAUUACUGGGCGUAAAGCGCACGUAGGCGGAAAGUUAAGUCAGAUGUGAAAUCCCCGGGCUCAACCUGGGAAUGGCAUCUGAAACUGGCUAUCUAGAGUAUGGUAGAGGAAGGUGGAAUUUCAGGUGUAGCGGUGAAAUGCGUAGAUAUCUGAAGGAACACCAGUGGCGAAGGCGGCCUUUCUGGACCAAUACUGACGCUGAGGAGCGAAAGCGUGGGUAGCGAACAGGAUUAGAUACCCUGGUAGUCCACGCUGUAAACGAUGAGAACUAGCUGUUGGAAGGGUAAAACCUUAUAGUAGCGAAGCUACCGCGAUAAGUUCUCCGCCUGGGGAGUACGGCCGCAAGGUUAAAACUCAGAGGAAUUGACGGGGGUCCCGCACAAGCGGUGGAAGCAUGUGGUUUAAUUCGAUGCACCGCGAAGAGCCUUACCUACCCUUGACAUCCUAGGGAUUUUGUAGAGAUAUGAAGAGUGCCUUCGGGGACUUAGAGACAGGUGCCUGCAUGGCUGUCGUCAGCUCGUGUCGUGAGAUGUUGGGUUAAGUCCCGUAACGAGCGCAACCCUUGUCCUUAAUUGCUAGCAGGUAGAGCUGAGAACUUUAAGGAGACUGCCGGUGAUAAACCGGAGGAAGGUGGGGAUGACGUCAAGUCCUCAUGGCCCUUAUGGGUAGGGCUACACACGUGCUACAAUGGGCAGUACAGACGGUAGCGAAGCUGCGAAGUGGAGCUAAUCUGAAAAAGCUGUUCUUAGUCCGGAUUGGAGUCUGCAACUCGACUCCAUGAAGUUGGAAUCGCUAGUAAUCGCGGAUCAGAACGCCGCGGUGAAUACGUUCUCGGGCCUUGUACACACCGCCCGUCACACCAUGGGAGUGGGUUGUACCAGAAGUGGGUAGACUAACCUUCGGGGGGUCGCUUACCACGGUAUGAUUCAUGACUGGGGUGAAGUCGUAACAAGGUAGCCGU
rnacentral:rRNA from 1 species